GACGAACUGUCCUAACGUUGUUCGGAAUCACUGGGCUUAAAGGGCGCGUAGGCGGUCGAACAAGUCAGGGGUGAAAUCCUACAGCUUAACUGUAGAAGUGCCUUUGAUACUGUUUGUCUUGAGGGAGAUAGGGGUGUGCGGAACUUCCAGUGGAGCGGUGAAAUGCGUUGAUAUUGGAAGGAACGCCGGAGGCGAAAGCGGCGCACUGGAUCUCUUCUGACGCUGAGGCGCGAAAGCUAGGGGAGCAAACGGG
rnacentral:rRNA from 1 species